rnacentral:rRNA from 1 species
GGCUUAACACAUGCAGUCGAGCGGGGAAGGUAGCUUGCUACCUAACCUAGCGGCGGACGGGUGAGUAAUGCUUAGGAAUCUGCCUAUUAGUGGGGGACAACAUUCCGAAAGGAAUGCUAAUACCGCAUACGCCCUACGGGGGAAAGCAGGGGAUCUUCGGACCUUGCGCUAAUAGAUGAGCCUAAGUCAGAUUAGCUAGUUGGUGGGGUAAAGGCCUACCAAGGCGACGAUCUGUAGCGGGUCUGAGAGGAUGAUCCGCCACACUGGGACUGAGACACGGCCCAGACUCCUACGGGAGGCAGCAGUGGGGAAUAUUGGACAAUGGGCGAAAGCCUGAUCCAGCCAUGCCGCGUGUGUGAAGAAGGCCUUUUGGUUGUAAAGCACUUUAAGCGAGGAGGAGGCUACUGAGAUUAAUACUCUUGGAUAGUGGACGUUACUCGCAGAAUAAGCACCGGCUAACUCUGUGCCAGCAGCCGCGGUAAUACAGAGGGUGCGAGCGUUAAUCGGAUUUACUGGGCGUAAAGCGUGCGUAGGCGGCUUUUUAAGUCGGAUGUGAAAUCCCUGAGCUUAACUUAGGAAUUGCAUUCGAUACUGGGAAGCUAGAGUAUGGGAGAGGAUGGUAGAAUUCCAGUGUAGCGGUGAAAUGCGUAGAGAUCUGGAGGAAUACCGAUGGCGAAAGCAGCCAUCUGGGCCUAAUACUGACGCUGAGUACGAAAGCAUGGGGAGCAAACAGGAUUAGAUACCCUGGUAGUCCAUGCCGUAAACGAUGUCUACUAGCCGUUGGGGCCUUUGNNCUUUAGUGGCGCAGCUAACGCGAUAAGUAGACCGCCUGGGGAGUACGUCGCANACUAAAACUCAAAUGAAAUGACGGG